rnacentral:rRNA from 1 species
AUCCGGAAGUCCCCGAUUUCACACUGCCAAGAAAAGCCUCUAGCGAGGGAAGAGGUGCCCGUACCGCAAACCGACACAGGUAGGCGAGGAGAGAAUCCUAAGGCGCGCGGGAGAACUCUCGUUAAGGAACUCGGCAAAAUGACCCCGUAACUUCGGGAGAAGGGGUGCUCUUUGGGGUGAAGAGCCCUGAAGAGCCGCAGUGAAAAGGCCCAAGCGACUGUUUAUCAAAAACACAGGUCUCUGCGAAGCCGAAAGGCGACGUAUAGGGGCUGACACCUGCCCGGUGCUGGAAGGUUAAGGGGAGCGCUUAGCGGAAGCGAAGGUGCGAACCGAAGCCCCAGUAAACGGCGGCCGUAACUAUAACGGUCCUAAGGUAGCGAAAUUCCUUGUCGGGUAAGUUCCGACCCGCACGAAAGGUGUAACGACUUGGGCGCUGUCUCAACGAGAGACCCGGUGAAAUUAUACUACCUGUGAAGAUGCAGGUUACCCGCGACAGGACGGAAAGACCCCGUGGAGCUUUACUGCAGCCUGAUAUGGAAUUUUGGUAUCGCUUGUACAGGAUAGGUGGGAGCCUGGGAAGCCGGAGCGCCAGCUUCGGUGGAGGCGUCGGUGGGAUACCACCCUGGCGGUAUUGAAAUUCUAACCCGCACCCCUUAGCGGGGUGGGAGACAGUGUCAGGUGGGCAGUUUGACUGGGGCGGUCGCCUCCCAAAAGGUAACGGAGGCGCCCAAAGGUUCCCUCAGAAUGGUUGGAAAUCAUUCGGAGAGUGCAAAGGCACAAGGGAGCUUGACUGCGAGACGGACAGGUCGAGCAGGGACGAAAGUCGGGCUUAGUGAUCCGGUGGUUCCGCAUGGAAGGGCCAUCGCUCAACGGAUAAAAGCUACCCCGGGGAUAACAGGCUGAUCUCCCCCAAGAGUCCACAUCGACGGGGAGGUUUGGCACCUCGAUGUCGGCUCAUCGCAUCCUGGGGCUGUAGUCGGUCCCAAGGGUUGGGCUGUUCGCCCAUUAAAGCGGUACGCGAGCUGGGUUCAGAACGUCGUGAGACAGUUCGGUCCCUAUCCGUCGCGGGCGGAGGAAAUUUGAGAGGAGCUGUCCUUAGUACGAGAGGACCGGGAUGGACGCACCGCUGGUGUACCAGUUGUCCCGCCAGGGGCACCGCUGGGUAGCUAUGUGCGGACGGGAUAAGCGCUGAAAGCAUCUAAGCGUGAAGCCCCCCUCAAGAUGAGAUUUCCCACCGCGCAAAGCGGGUAAGAUCCCUCGAAGAUGACGAGGUCGAUAGGUCCGAGGUGGAAGCGUGGCGACACGUGGAGCUGACGGAUACUAAUCGAUCGAGGGCUU